AGGAAUGCUAGCUAGGCUGAGUGUCUGAGCAAAUGUGGACAGCCAAAGGGAGCCUUGGCCAAAACUCUUCUCUCCUCUGUCUCCAGGAAUUGGAAGUGUCCCACUGAGGUGUCACCAUGAGACCCACCCAUCGGAGCCAGGCUUUGAAGGAACUGACCGCAGUGUGCAUGAGGAAGUACUUCACGGUGAUGACCCUCGCCACCCUCUCAGGAAAACACAGUGACCUCUCCCCCAACAUCCCCUUCCCACUCCCAGGUCCCCCGGCAAAGGCAGAAGAACCAAGCAAGCCUUUCCACCAAAGCAGCCAUGAACCCCAUUCUCAUCCUUUCCAAGAACUCUCUGCUAUACCAGAUAGGGGUUUGGGGUUCUGUUUUCCAUUUUUUAAAAAAAUCAUUUCAAGACUCUUGAACAGUGUGUCGGUUUACACUAUUCUAUCUUCUUAAGCCACCAUAUCAACAUAUUCACUCUGCUUCCUUUCUUUUCAUUUGGCAGAUGCCACACUUUUAAUGGCAGCAAUAAAAGGUGUUUCUAUCAAUGCCAGGUGGGCAGCCCUGACCAUCUAAAGCCUCGGAGAGGGUUAUACCAAGUCUCCUGUACACCUCCGUGCUAGUGACAACAUGUGGGGACCUCUCAUCCCAAAGUUUUGGGACAAAGUCUCCCGUCCCUUAUCAUUUGUUUUCACUGAGGCUAAAUGUAUCUGUUCAGUACAUGGAUAGAUUUUUAAGCUCCUCUCACAAAGUCUUGUGCUUGAGACAAAAUCAGCCCAGGUUCUGCACUUUGUCUAUAUUUCAGCAGCUCUCCUGCUUGAUAUUAAAAAUAGCCUUGUCUAGUCCAUCGAGAUCAGACCCAGGAGACAGGCGCCUGCUAUUCUAAUCUCUGCUUCACAAAUAGCUCUCUAUGGGCUCAAG
rnacentral:lncRNA from 1 species